CUCCAGACUCCUACGGGAGGCAGCAGUGGGGAAUAUUGGGCAAUGGGCGCAAGCCUGACCCAGCAAUGCCGCGUGAAGGAAGAAGGCUUUCGGGUUGUAAACUUCUUUGACAGGGGAAGAGCAGAAGACGGUACCUGAAGAAGAAGCCCCGGCUAACUACGUGCCAGCAGCCGCGGUAAUACGUAGGGGGCAAGCGUUAUCCGGAUUUACUGGGUGUAAAGGGGGCGCAGACGGCGAUGCAAGCCAGGAGUGAAAGCCCGGGGCCCAACCCCGGGACUGCUCUUGGAACUGCGUGGCUAGAGUGCAGGAGGGGCAGGCGGAAUUCCUGGUGUAGCGGUGAAAUGCGUAGAUAUCAGGAGGAACACCGGUGGCGAAGGCGGCCUGCUGGACUGCAACUGACGUUGAGGCCCGAAAGCGUGGGGAGCAAACAGGAUUAGAUACCCCGGUA
rnacentral:rRNA from 1 species